GACGAACGCUGGCGGCGUGCCUAAUACAUGCAAGUUGAGCGCUGAAGGUUGGUACUUGUACCAACUGGAUGAGCAGCGCACGGGUGAGUAACGCGUGGGGAAUCUGCCUUUGAGCGGGGGAAAACAUUUGGAAACGAAUGCUAAUACCGCAUAAAAACUUUAAACACAAGUUUUAAGUUUGAAAGAUGCAAUUGCAUCACGUAAAGAUGAUCCAGCGUUGUAUUAGCUAGUUGGUGAGGUAGUGGCGCAUCAAGGCGGUGACGGGUAGCCGAACUGAGAGGGUGACAGGCCACAGUGGGACUGAGAUGCGGCCCAGAGUCCUACGGGAGGAAGAAGUGGGGAAUAUUGCACAAUGGGAGGAAGCCUGAUGCAGCAACGCCGCGUGCGGGAUGACGGCCGUCGGUUUGUAAACCGCUUGCGCCUGUGACGAAGCGUGAGUGACGGUAAUGGGUAAAGAAGCACCGGCUAACUACGUG
rnacentral:rRNA from 1 species